ensembl:snRNA U6 U6 spliceosomal RNA
GUGCUCACUUUGGCAAUACAUAUAUACUAAAAUUGGAACAAUACAGAAAAGAUUAGCAUGACCCCUGCACAAGGAAGACAGGCAAAUUCAUGAAACAUUCCACGUUUUU